rnacentral:rRNA from 1 species
CCCUUAGAUGUUCUGGGCCGCACGCGUGCUACACUGAUGCAUUCAACGAGUCUAAAACCUGGUCUGAUAGGGCUGGGUAAUCUUUUGAAAGUGCAUCGUGAUUGGGAUAGAUGAUUGCAAUUCUUCAUCUUCAACGAGGAAUGCCUAGUAAAUGCAAGUCAUCAGCUUGCAUUGAUUACGUCCCUGCCCUUUGUACACACCGCCCGUCGCUCCUACCGAUUGAAUGAUCCGAUGAAUACCAUGGAUUGAGAGUACGAAUAGGUUCGCUUAUUUCUGCUGCUCGAGAAGUGGAGUAAAUCUUAUCAUUUAGAGGAAGGAGAAGUCGUAACA